GACGAACGCUGGCGGCGUGCUUAACACAUGCAAGUCGAACGAUGAGGAAAAGAAUUUAAGCUUCGGCAGAAAUUCAUUUCGGAUUAGUGGCAGACGGGUGAGUAACCCGUGAGCAACCUACCUCUUACAAAGGUAUAGCCUCUAGAAACUGGGAGUUAUACCAUAUAACAUUGCGACGAAGCAUUUCGGUGCAUUCAAAGCUACGGCGGUAAGAGAUGGUCUCGCGUCCCAUUAACCAGAUGGUGAGGUAACGGCUCACCAUAGUAACGAUGGGUAACCGGGAUGGGAGCGUGACAGGUCACACUGGAAAUGCGGCACAGUCCAGAAUCCUACGCGAGGGAGGAGUGGAGAAUACUGCACAAUGGAGCGAAAUCUGAUGCAGCCACGCGGCGUGAGUGAUGCAGCAAUUUGUAAACUAAUAUUCUCUUCUAUGGGAAGAAAAGGACGGUAACAGAGGAGAAAGCUCCGGCUAACUACGUG
rnacentral:rRNA from 1 species